rnacentral:rRNA from 1 species
AAAAAUCCACCCCCUGAGGACUUAUGAGUUUACGCUCUACAACCCAUAUAUAGUAGAACAUACCUAUAUACUAGUUAGCUUCGAGCGAGGUAGAGAGUCUCCGAUGACCCUCCCGAGCCUCCCGCCCCCGAGGCGAGGUCGGCGCCCGCCGGAGAGAUAAACAAACUCUGAUUUAACGACGUUUCUUCUGAGUGGUACAAGCAAAUAAUCAAAACUUUUAACAACGGAUCUCUUGGUUCUGGCAUCGAUGAAGAACGCAGCGAAAUGCGAUAAGUAAUGUGAAUUGCAGAAUUCAGUGAAUCAUCGAAUCUUUGAACGCACAUUGCGCCCGCCAGCAUUCUGGCGGGCAUGCCUGUUCGAGCGUCAUUUCAACCCUCAAGCUCUGCUUGGUGUUGGGGCCCUACAGCUGAUGUAGGCCCUCAAAGGUAGUGGCGGACCCUCCCGGAGCCUCCUUUGCGUAGUAACUUUACGUCUCGCACUGGGAUCCAGAAGGACUCUUGCCGUAAAACCCCCAAUAUUCCAAAGGUUGACCUCGGAUCAAGUAAAAAUACCCGCUGAACUUAAGCAUAUCAAUAAGACAGAGGAA